rnacentral:rRNA from 1 species
UACGAAGGGGCUAGCGUUGUUCGGAUUUACUGGGCGUAAAGCGCACGUAGGCGGAUUGUUAAGUCAGGGUGAAAUCCUGGAGCUCAACUCCAGAACUGCCUUUGAUACUGGCAAUCUAGAGUCCGGAAGAGGUGAGUGGAACUCCUAGUGUAGAGGUGGAAUUCGUAGAUAUUAGGAAGAACACCAGUGGCGAAGGCGGCUCACUGGUCCGGUACUGACGCUGAGGUGCGGAAAGCG